rnacentral:rRNA from 1 species
UACGGGGGGGGCAAGCGUUAAUCGGAUUUACUGGGCGUAAAGCGCGCGUAGGCGGCUAAUUAAGUCAAAUGUGAAAUCCCCGAGCUUAACUUGGGAAUUGCAUUCGAUACUGGUUAGCUAGAGUGUGGGAGAGGAUGGUAGAAUUCCAGGUGUAGCGGUGAAAUGCGUAGAGAUCUGGAGGAAUACCGAUGGCGAAGGCAGCCAUCUGGCCUAACACUGACGCUGAGGUGCGAAAGCAUGGGGAGCAAACAGG